AGUAACGUUGGCGGCGUGGAUUACGCAUGCCAUCACGAGCGAGAAGCCUUCUUCGCGCAAGGUGGCACAGCGGCGAAAGGGAGAGUAACGCGUAGGUACGUACCUUAAGGUCCGGGACAACCUUCCUAACGGAGGGCUAAUACCGGAUAAUCUGUCCGCAGCAAAGUGUGUGAUUCCGCCUUGAGAGCGACCUGCGUCCUAUUAAGUAGUUGGUGGGGUAAAGGCCUACCAAGCCGAAAGAUGGGUACCGGGUGUGAGAGCAUGGCCCGGCUCACUGGGACUGAGACACUGCCCAGACACCUACGGGUGGCUGCAGUCGAGAAUCUAUCCGCAAUGGACGCAAGAUCUGACGGAGCGACGCCGACGAUGCGGGAUUAAGGCCUUCGAGGUUGUAAACCGACUGUCAGAGAGGCGGAAAUGCAUAGUGGCUAUCCAUUAUGUUUGACCUAAUCUCACAGGAAGUGCACGGCUAACGUUCGUGCCAGCAGCGCAGAGUAAUACCGAACUGAACAAAACGUUAUUACGGAAUCACUGGGCUUAAAAGAGUCCAGUAGGCGGCAUGGUAGUAGAGGUGUGAAAUCCCACAGACCAACAUGUGG
rnacentral:rRNA from 1 species